CAGAAACCCACGGAGGGGCUGAAGUUGUGUCCUGGGUGCAGCAAGAUGCUGCGCUGACGGUGAUGUCCAGGUUUGGCUUUUCAUCCAGCUCCGAGGAGGACUCAUCUAAUCCCGAUGUUUCCCUGGUGGCCCGACGCAGGGAGGAGGACAGCUGUGGCCGCUGUCAGAGGGACAAGUAUCUCCCAGAAGCGACUGUGCCAGAGAUCAUUUGAGAUGAGGGUGACAAGAAAGCCUAC